GAUGAAGAACGUAGCGAAAUGCGAUAAGUAAUGUGAAUUGCAGAAUUCAGUGAAUCAUCGAAUCUUUGAACGCACAUUACGCCCUCUGGUAUUCCGGGGGGCAUGCCUGUUCGAGCGUCAUUAUAACCACUCAAGCUCUCGCUUGGUAUUGGAGUUCGCGAUCUCGCGGCUCCUAAAAUCAGUGGCGGUGCCUGUCGGCUCUACGCGUAGUAAUACUCCUCGCGAUUGAGUCCGGUAGGUUUACUUGCCAGCAACCCCCAAUUUUUACAGGUUGACCUCGGAUCAGGUAGGGAUACCCGCUGAACUUAAGCAUAUCAAUAAGCGGAGGA
rnacentral:misc_RNA from 1 species